rnacentral:rRNA from 1 species
CCUACGGGAGGCAGCAGUGGGGAAUAUUGGACAAUGGGCGAAAGCCUGAUCCAGCAAUGCCGCGUGAGUGAUGAAGGCCUUCGGGUCGUAAAGCUCUUUUACCAGGGAUGAUAAUGACAGUACCUGGAGAAUAAGCUCCGGCUAACUCCGUGCCAGCAGCCGCGGUAAUACGGAGGGAGCUAGCGUUGUUCGGAAUUACUGGGCGUAAAGAGUACGUAGGCGGUUAUUCAAGUCAGAGGUGAAAGCCCGGGGCUCAACCCCGGAACUGCCUUUGAAACUAGAUAACUAGAGUCUUGGAGAGGUUAGUGGAAUUCCGAGUGUAGAGGUGAAAUUCGUAGAUAUUCGGAAGAACACCAGUGGCGAAGGCGACUAACUGGACAAGUACUGACGCUGAGGUACGAAAGCGUGGGGAGCAAACAGGAUUAGAUACCCUGGUAGUCCACGCCGUAAACGAUGAUAACUAGUUGUUCGGUCACUUGGUGACUGAGUGACGCAGCUAACGCAUUAAGUUAUCCGCCUGGGGAGUACGGUCGCAAGNUUAAAACCUUAAAUNANANAGNNGNGANGCGAGACGACACGAGGAGAGG